GUGGGGAAUAUUGCGCAAUGGCCGAAAGGCUGACGCAGCGACGCCGCGUGUGGGAGGAAGCCCUUCGGGGUGUAAACCACUGUCAGAGGGGAAGAACCCCGUCAAUUCGAAUAGGGUUGGCGGCUGACGGUACCCUCAAAGGAAGCACCGGCUAACUCCGUGCCAGCAGCCGCGGUAAGACGGAGGGUGCAAGCGUUGUUCGGAAUUACUGGGCGUAAAGCGCGAGCAGGUGGUCUGUUAAGUCUUUUGUGAAAACCCGGGGCUCAACUCCGUGGAAUGCAGAAGAUACUGGCAGGCUAGAGACCAGUAGAGGCUAGCGGAAUUCCUGGUGUAGCGGUGGAAUGCGUAGAUAUCAGGAAGAACACCUGUGGCGAAGGCGGCUAGCUGGGCUGGAUCUGACACUCAUCCGCGAAAGCGUGGGGAGCAAACAGGAUUAGAAACCCGGGUAGUCC
rnacentral:rRNA from 1 species